rnacentral:rRNA from 1 species
GAUGAACGCUAGCGGCAGGCUUAAUACAUGCAAGUCGAGGGGCAGCGCAGUGUAGCAAUACAUGGGCGGCGACCGGCAAACGGGUGCGGAACACGUACAGAACCUUCCUUUAAGCGGGGAAUAGCCCAGAGAAAUUUGGAUUAAUACCCCAUAGUAUAUUGAGUAGGCAUCUAUUUAAUAUUAAAGAUUUAUCACUUAAA